rnacentral:rRNA from 1 species
UACGUAGGGGGCAAACGUUGUCCGGAUUUAUUGGGCGUAAAGAGCGUGUAGGCGGCCAGGUAGGUCAGCUGUGAAAACUCGAGGCUCAACCUCGAGCUGUCGGCUGAAACCAUCUGGCUAGAGUCCGGAAGAGGAGAAUGGAAUUCCCGGUGUAGCGGUGAAAUGCGCAGAUAUCAGGAAGAACACCCGUGGCGAAGGCGGUUCUCUGGAACGCAACUGACGCUGAGACGCGAAAGCGUGGGGAGCAAACAGG